rnacentral:misc_RNA from 1 species
GCGGCGGCGGCGGCGGCGGCGCUGGGCGCCACGCUGCCGCGCGCGGGCGCUCUGCGAGCUGCCGCGCUGCGCAGGCUGGCCGCGCUGGCGCGCCUGGCGCUCACCCGCCUGCACUCCGACAACCCCUUGCACUUAAAAGCGCUCGAGCAAGCAAGAGGCGUUCUAGCAGAAGCGAAGGCCGUAGAAUGACGCUUUCAGGAAUCCGUUGAAAUUUUUAUUUCUACUAGACGCUACGGCUUGUUGCAUCUAGGAUAAUAUCAAUCUUACUUUGUAAAUGCAAAUGAUGGUAUUCAUUAAAUUAACAUUACAAAUGAACAU